rnacentral:lncRNA from 1 species
UUCGAAGCACAUCCAUGUUAGAUAAAUGAACUGACAUGGUUCCACCAUAAUUAAUAGAAUGCAAUCCAAGAUUUAUUUCAUCAAGAUUUCCUAAUCUUGCAUUAGAAUAGAGAGAGGUAAUGUCAGCAAAACAACAAUAAUCAUCCAGUUUUAUAGUAUGAACUGACAGUAUAAAUAUGGUAUAAUCGUGAAAAAGAUAUACAAGGGAAAAAGAUGCCCACCAGAGAUAGCCCAAGCGUUCCACUUGAAGGAGGUGGCAUUCCAGAGAUAGAGUAGCCCAUCACAUUCGCAGNNNNNNNNNNNNNNNNNNNNNNNNNNNNNNNNNNNNNNNNNNNNNNNNNNNNNNNNNNNNNNNNNNNNNNNNNNNNNNNNNNNNNNNNNNNNNNNNNNNNNNNNNNNNNNNNNNNNNNNNNNNNNNNNNNNNNNNNNNNNNUAAUCUCUCACCAAUGGUCCCGUUGUAAAAGACCUGAGGCCCUUGUUCUGCCACUGCAUCUAGACUCCCAGCUAGUUCCGGAUUGUAGCAUAUGUCACCUAUUUGUAACAACUCCCCCUUUGGUGCAAACACUCGGCUCAAACCAGGGUCAUUCAUGAUCAUAUCUGCAAACUGAGAUAUAUGUAAACCAAGAUAAGGAGCAAUCUCAAAACCUUCUCUCGCAAGUUUGAUGGCAGGUUGGAACAAGGUCCUCCAAGCCAAACGUCCAUACUGCAACCAAGCUUCAUGAAGGCCGGCUAUCUCACCAGGAACUGCCAUUGACAAUGCACCAACAUAUUUGGCUGUGAGGUUACUCUCGUACAUAUUCUGUUUGUUGUUACACCGAUCAAGAGAAGCAACUAAUGUCAGAUGAUUUGGACAUUGGGUAUUAAUCAUAGGUCUCACAGAAUUGGAUCCAAUUUUAACAAUGGACCAACUUGAUAGAACUAGCAGCAAGUUUUGUGAUAGCUAUUUCUUUGGUUGAAAUAGAUUUAUGUUUGAAAAAGUAGGGACAAAAAAGCAUUUUAGAAAUGGGAAAGGAGAAGUCCGAACCUCUGAAGCAGCUAGGGGAGCAGUUUCCCUCAUGUCGUAAGCUUGAGUCUUUGAAGUUGAUGAAGACCUGACAACCAUGAAAGCUCCACCUCCUAUUCCACUAGACGUUGGAUUGACAACACCAAGACACAGUGCAGUUGCCACAGCAGCAUCAACAGCAUGUCCACCUUGUCUAAGCAUGGAUGCACCAAUUUUAGAACACCGACCAUCAUCCGCAGCAACAACACCUCUUUCGGACUCAACAGUGUCAUCCACAUUGUGAUUGAUCCUCUCAUUUUGUUUCUUUUCUUGUAUCAGUAUGCGCCUACUUAUAUUCUCCCUAAAGGGAACACCUAAAACUGAAAAACAAACAAUGUUACGCAAAGGGCUAAUUACAAAGCUUUGUUAGUUACAAAUAUUAUCUGUAUCUGAAGGCUGCCAUACUCAUUUUUUCAAAAAACGUCAUCAUAAUCCGAUCCUUGAUUAAGAAAAUACUAAAUAAUCUCACCCUUUUCUUCUCUGCUAGGUUGUUAUUCUUUACUUUUUCCAUGGUGACAAUAUCUCCUAAAUUUCUCUUUCCCCAUUCUUGGAAAAUAGUGAAAUGAUUCUGUUUUUUUUUUUCUUUUCUUUUCUUUUCUUUUCUCACUUAAUUCAAAUUCAAUUGAAUUUUCUCUUUCUUCCGGGGUCAAUAAAAUGAAACAGGUAGGAUAAGAGCAUGGAGUAUGAUAACUCAUAAAACUUUGACCACAAAUUUCUUCAUUACUGUAUCGGUUUGAGAUGUCACUGGUUAUGCGAGUAUCAUUUCACAGAAAAAAGUCAACUGAGCACUGAAAACCCAAAAGUAACAGCACAAACUAACUGAGAUCUGAAAACAGUGACUAAAUGAAAAAAGUCAACUGAGCAUGGAAAACCUAGAAUAAGAACACAAUUAAAUGGGACCUGAAAAGAGUGACUUUAAGUGAAAAGAGUGAAACUGAUCAUAGAAAACCCAAAGUAAGAAUACAAAUGAACUGAGAUAUGAAAAGAGUGAUUAAGUAAAAGAAGGCAACUGAUCAUAAAAAAACCCAGAGUAAGAACAUGAGUUAACUGAGACCUGAAAACAGUGACUAAGUGAAGAAGUCAACUGAGCAUAGAAAACCCAAAGUAACAACACAUGUUAACUGAGACCCGAAAAGAGUGAUUAAGUAUAUACGGAAAUCGAAAAAAGAUCAGUAGGUGAAUGGAAGAAGAAGAAGAAGAAACUGACUUGAGAUUAUAAGCAAAACAAGAAGCAACCAGAGAGCUCUGCUCCAGUUUUUCUUCUUCUCCUUCCUCUCAUCACUCCCCAUAAGUAAAGCUUGAAGUGUUAGUUCCGCCAUGCGCCUCCUCCCCUUCCUCUCUCCGACUCAAAGCAGAUACCAAGAAGAGAGAUGGAAUAACUGUAGACUGCCAUUGGUUUUCUCAGUAGUAUUUAUAGAAUCUACAAACAGAAAUGAGACAGGGUCUUCCUUUCUAAUGCCAGAAGGAUUCCUUAUAACAGAGCCAACUCUUUUCAUACUCCUAUCCAAUCAGGUUCUGCCACGUGAGUACAUUUUCAACAAUUUAAAUCCUGAUUUUCACACCCUAUGUAUGUAUAUAUCUAUAUAUAUAUGUGUAUAUAUUUUCUACCAGAAGGAUAGAUAGUAAGAAAAAAACAUUUAGUAGUUGAAUGAGAAGAGAACGUGCAAAUUGUGCUACUCUCUCUCUCUCUCUCUCUCUCUCCCCCUCCUUCCCCCAUGUUCUCUCUUUCUUGGAUUUCAAAAACAAAAUAUCCAAAUUUUGGUUUUAAUAUUAUUCGAAUUAGUUUUUGGAGUGAUUGUUUAUAUCAUUCUGUGUGAGGAUACAUGGCGUUCAUCUUUAUAUAUUCUCCUUAUAAAACUGUAUUAUUAUCAACUUGUAGUAUUAAUAAAUAAAUAUAUAUAUAUAUAUAGCUUCAUCUUUGCUUAAAAAAUUUCUGACUCGUGUUGGAAAGUGUGAACUAAUUUGCAUAUGUGUAUAUAUAUAUAUAUAUAUAUUAUAUAAAAGAUAAGGUUGAACAUAAUCAAUUAAGUGUGUCUCAGCAAACAAAUGUUAUCACUUAAUUAUUAUAAGGAUUAUUUUAAAGUUGAACUAACAUAUUUAUUUGCAAUCAAUAAAUUUUGAGGAUUAUUUUAAAAUUGAUGUAGUUCAACGUGUUUGUUAGAUAUGUACGGGAAUAUAAUUUUUUAACUCAUGUUAUUGGGUUAUUAUAUAUUUUCAAAUUGAUGGAAACUUGAUAUAAAUAUAUAUAUAUAUAUAUAGGUCAAUGGCUUAUUCUCAGAAGUUGUAUAUAUUAAUUUGCUUAACAUUAAUUAACAUGUAUUUAUAAUUAUCAAAUUUGAUUUAUUAGUUGUUUUGGAACUUGCUUCUUUGAUUAUUUUCCUAUAAUUUUGUGGAAUUGACUUGAUUUUUGUUUAUUAUGAAAGAUUUUCUCAACCUAUAAUUUUACGUCACGUGGCUACAUAUUCAAAAAGUUAUUUAUAUUAGAAAAAUUAAUUGUGUAAUUACUAUUAAUCAAAUUAAAUCUCACAAAUCAGAUUAUUGAUCAUAAAUAAAAAUAUUUGNNNNNNNNNNNNNNNNNNNNNNNNNNNNNNNNNNNNNNNNNNNNNNNNNNNNNNNNNNNNNUUUUGCAUCUUUUGAGACCAAUAACACCCCCACAUGGAUACUUGAUAGUAGGGCAUUGCAUCAUGUCACCCCAGAUUUGAAUAAUUUUUUACUUCAUACUCUUUAUACAAGGUCCGAUGAUGUUAUAAUCAGUGAUGGCUCGGGUUUUCACAUUAACCAUAUCGGUUCUACCACUCUUUCUACCUAUUGGCACAUUUUAAUUUACAUAAUGUCAUUUACAGACCUAAUAUGAAAAAAAAAUCUUAUUUCUAUAUAUCAAUUUUGCAAUACUAAUCAUAUUUAUAUAGAAUUAUUACCUACUAUCUUUUAUGUAAAAGACCUUAGCACGGGGGUAAUUCUUUUGACAAGAAACACUAAAUAUGGCGUCUAUGAGUGGUGAAAUUGUCUUCUCUACUUGUUGCCUUCUCUAGCGUUAAGACCACUUCUUAUGAGUAACACUCAAGAUUAAGUCAUCCAUUCGCAUUUAUUCUUCAACAUAUUAUGUCAACAUUCUCUUUACCUUAUUAUACAUUACAAAACACUCAUUGUAAUAUGUGUGUAAGUACCAAGAGUCAUAAACUUCCUUUUUUUUAUAUCUAUAAUUAUUUUAUCUCACCCCUUACAAAUAAUAUUUUUUGAUGUUUGGAUCUCACCUGUUUAUUCCGUUGAUAAUUUCAAGUAUUAUGUUAUCUUUGUUGAUUAUUUUAUAUGUUAUGUAUGAUAUUUACUUAUUAAAUUUUUUUUUUAUCCUUGUGAUAUCUUUCUUUAUUUUAAAACACAAGUAGAAAAUUACUUCAAACAUUCGAUUAUCACUCUGUACUCUGAUAAUGGCGGGGAUCAAUUUUUAUCCCUUCAUAGAAUCACUCAUCUCAUCUCUCACCCACAUACACCUGAACAUAAUGGUCUCUUUGAACACCGACGUGACAUAUUGUUGAAAUCAGUCUGUUUCUACUUACUCAUGCCUCAGUUCCACUCACAUAAUAGAACUAUGCUUUUGCAACCGCUGUAUAUCUCAUUAAUUUCAUGCCCAUACCCAUACUUUCCCUUUAUUCUCUUUAUGAGUCUUUGUUAUGUUCUCUACCAAACUACAUAAAACUUCGUAGCUUUAGUUGUUUAUGUUAUCCACAGCAUCGUCUAGACUCUAGUCACAAACUUGAGUUUCGAUCAUUCCUUUGUGUGUUUGUUAGGUACUCUUUUACUAAAAUGCCUAUCUCUAUCUCAAUCCUCUAACUUCUAAAAUCUACACAUCUUGUCAUGUCAAAUUUUUAAAAUUUAUCUUCCUAUUCAAAUUUGUUUAAAGUCAUUUUAGUCGUCCAAAUCCAGAAACACUCCCAGUUUGGUUUCCAUCAGUGCUAUUUCUUCUUACUAAGGGUGCGCCACUCAACAUGCAGCCUUGCCCCCAUACUCAAAUCCAUCUCUCAACCAAUCUCCGAUUAACCAUUCCACAUCCUCCAUACAUAGCACACCCUCCGAACUCCACGUCCUAUACCUGAAUCCCCACUUGCUCUUAGCCAAAAUUCGGUUGACCGAGCCCAAUUAUCCCAAUCAACUAGAACAUUCUGCCGACACCAACAAUAACUCACACAAUCCACCAUCUUAUUCCUUAUCUCCCUCUCUAAACCCCCUUCCUCCAAACCCAUCUACCAAUACUCACACUAUGACCACAUGUGCUAAAAUAAAAUUCAUAAACUCAUAUCGUUACUAUCACCUCAGACCAUCAACUUGAGCCAUACACAUUGACCCAAGCUUUCAAAGAUCCUAAAUGGUGCUGGGCUAUGUUUGAGGAGUAUGAUGUUCGUGUGGAAUGGAACAUGAGAACUUGUCUCACCUGAUUUAACACAAAAUCAUGUUGGUUGUAAAUGAAUUUUUAGAAUUAAACAUUUACCUAAUGGCUCAAUCGAUAGGUAUAAAGCUCGACUAGUUGCUAAUCAAUAUCCUAGUGUUGAUUAUCAUGACACAUUUAGUCUGGUUGUCAAGCCUACCACUAUUCGCUUGGUUCUUAGUCUUACUAUUAGUCGUGGGUGGUCUCUUCGUCUACUUGAUGUCAACAAUGCAUUUCUACAAAGCCAUCUCUUUAAAGAUGUUUUCAUGACACAACCAUUAGGUUUUCUUGAUCGUGAUAAUCUUAUGCAAGGAUAUAUAUGGUCUCAAAUAAGUACUAUGAGCCUAAUACAAUGAGUUAAGACAUUUUUUUUGUCGCCUCUAGGUAUACAAACUCUCAUGCAAACAUAUCACUCUUUUUUCUGAACACCAAUUAUACUCUACUCUAUCUCAUUAUGUAUGUUGAUGAUGUAAUUAUUACUGAAAAUAAUGCCAUUGCAAUUCAACAAUUUAUUGAUAUUCUUGACAAAAGAUUUUUUAUCAAAGAUCUUGGUGAUUUAACUUACUUUUUUGGUGUUGAUGUUACAACUACUUCCAUUGGUUUAUUUUUUUCUUAGCGGAAGUAUAUUAUAGAUCUUCUCGUUUACACAAUUAUAACAGGAGAUAAAUCCGUCACCACUCCAUUUGCCAUCGAGCCAACACUUACAGUUCUGUCUAGCAUUGCUUUGACUGAUCCUUAUGAAUACAGAGUAGUCAUUAGAAGUCUUCCGUACUUAUGUCCCACUCGCCUUGAUACUACAUAUGCUGUUAAUAAGUUGUCUCAAUUCAUGCAUUGACCUACUACUGAUCAUUGCUAUCAACUGUUUGGUUCACUAUCUUUCUGGUACAGUUGAUCAUGGUCUUGUCUUGCACUGUCAUACAUCUCUAUCUCUUCAUGUCUUCUUAGAUGCUAACUAAAACUGGUAAUAAGAAGGACUACAUCUCCACCAGUGCUUAUAUUGUUUACUUCAGUUGCAAUCCCAUAUCCUGGUCCUCAAAGAAACAACGCAUAGUUGCACGAUCCUCUAUUGAAGCUGAAUAUCAUUUUGUUGCUGCUACAAUUGCUGAGUUACGUUGGAUUUAUUCUCUUCUAACUGAAUUUGACAUUUAUAUUCAUGUUGCUCUGGCUAUCUAUUGUGACAAUGUUGGUGCAACUCAUUUUUGUUCUAAUCUUGUCUUCCAUUCACGAAUGAAGCAUGUUCUGAUUGAUUAUCAUUUUAUUCGAGAUCAAGUCCAAAGUGGAGCUUUACGUGUCACUCAUGUGUCAUCAAAAGAUCAAUUAGCAAAUGUCUUAACCAAAUCUCUUUCACACACUCGCUUUCAACUUUUAAAGAUCAAAAUUAGACUCUUCGCAGGAGCUCCAUUUUGAGGGGGCAUAUUAAAAGAAUUAAUUAUGUAAUUACUAUCAAUCAAAUUAAGUGAUUGAUUAGAAUUAGAAUAGUUGAUUUACCGUUGAUUAAGAUUGUACAUGUAUGUACAUAUAUAUAUAUAUGCCUCAUCUUUAUUCAAUUGAAAUUAAGCCAUUAUCUUCAAUUUCAUAAUUUAAUUGGAUAUUACAUUUAUAUCCCUAAAUUAAGGGCCUCUCUUUUUAUAAAUAAAAUAAAAUAUAUAUAAAUUAAGCAACAAUUGAAACAGAAGAAUAGUAUCUAAUCUGCCAAUAUCAUUAUGACUUGUAACGAUGACAAAACCCUUGUUAAUUAAUACGAGUUGUCGUGUUAGUAAGAUCUGUUCAUAGGGUGAUGCAACCAGGAGGAAGUUUUAGAAAUUAAAAUGAAAAAUGGAACCGAUAUAUAAUUUUUUAAUCAAAAAAAAAAAAAACUGAUGUCAUAUAUCGUAUAAAAAAUUUAAGCAAUACCGUAAGUAUACAUUAAUAUUUUUGAAAUAUAUAAUAUUAAAAUUCUAAAAUGUUAAAUCUUAAAAUUUUUGGUCACUUCCCAUUGUGAAAAUUUCAACUGAGUAGGAACUGAUUAAUUACAUUCCCUGGAACUGAAAAAAAAUCACUUCAAAUUAAUUAACCAAGCUGAUUUAAAAAAUUGGUUGUCUUGAAUAGUUUUAAGCAAUAUUCCACACCCUUUAUAGUAUAUAUACAUAUUAUAACCUCGUGUUUCUAGUAGCUGGGAAAUCUGAAGUGAUGCUUAGUGGAUUGCUUCGGAGACCGCUUGCUGUUAUUUUACUUUCCCCCCUUAUGCUUCUGUCCUUGUGUAUUUUGUAUAAUUAAUAUUUGUUUAACAGAGGCAUGAAUAAUAAGUAAUGAACAGGAGAGAUUUUUAUAUGACUCUUGUAAGAGUGUCUUUUCAGACCGCUCCUACAAAUUUCCUAAACCACUGCCUCCCGCAUCAAACAGCUGCAGGCUUCCCGUCUUUUCUGGGGUCACUAACUCCAGUAAGGGUUCCAUGCAGAACCUGAGCAUUAUUAGACUCUUUUCCAAUCCUACGACUCGUACUAGUAACUGGUUUUUGGAAAUCUUGAACAAUCAGUUGAACAAUGGCUCCUCCUGCCCUGGCUUCGAGUUUAUGGUGUCUAGCUUUCAAGAAUAUCUUUGUCUCGUUGUCAAGCUCGAUAUGAUCACCAUCAAUCACAGUCCAGUUCUCGUACAAGACGACAUUUGGAAUUAGCUGCAUAAUAAGUAAAACAUCAUAUUAGCGUAAUUCCCUUUUUAGCAAUUGGUUAUAUGCAUGUGUCCGUCUGUUAGAAACAGGUCAAUAACCUGGUGGUACACUCUGGGAUGCUGAACCGCGGCUAGAGGCUUCAUUCCCAUAAUGAAAUGGUUAAGAAAGACUUGAACUACCGCAGGAAUAAUGUGCAUUCCUCCACUACCACCAACAACUCCAACCAAUUGGUCAUUCUGCCAAGUAAUCAUAACAAAGUAAACAAUUGAACCUUCCCAGAACCUGGCACUAAAAGCGAAGAAGUAGAAGCAUGUGAUUAGUAUACCUUGGUGAUUAUGAGGGGAGUCAUGGAAGAUAAUGGUCUUUUGUUUGGCCUGAUAAAAUUGGCUGGAGCUGGAGGGAGCAAAUCGGGUGAUUUCUCUGUGGGUAUUGAGAAGUCCCCCAUCUCAUUGUUGAGCACAAUACCAGUGUUAGGAGAGAGCACCCCAGCUCCAAAGACAAAAUUUACAGUUGAUGUUAUCGAUACAGCAUUACGAUCUGAGUCUACAACACACAAAUGACUGGUUCCAUGGUCUCUAAGCUGGCUCCAUCUGGUGAUAACAAAAACCUGGUAUGUUUGUUCUCAUUCUUCCCAUAAACAAGAGUAUCAAUUCUAUUGAGCACAAAGGUAGAUGAAGUGAAGGAGCAUAUUAUACCUGGGAAGAUAGUAGUCUGGAGGAAAAGUAGUGUCAUCAAAUAUCUUUUGCUGAAUUUGCUUGGCAAAAGCUGGGGAUAGCAUUUUGCGGAUAUACUCGAUUAUGUCCACAAAAUCAGGGUCACCUAGAUUCAUCCGAACAGCAAACAUGUGUUUCAUUGCUUCAAUCAAGCGAUGUAGGCCAAGACUUCUAUUGGCAGCAUAGAAACUUCCAUAACUAUUCAAAAUGUUUACUACCUGUUUAAGGACAUCCAUGUUUAGAUAAAUGAACUCACGAGGUUCCAACAUAAUUAAUAGAAUGCAACUCAAGAUUUAUUUAUCUAGAUUCCUAAUCUUGCAGUAGAAUAGAGAGAGGCAAUUUCAUCAAAACAACAUUAAUCAUGCAGUUUUGUAGUAUGAACUGACGGUAUAAAUCUGGUAUAAUAAUGAAAAAGAUAUACGAGGGAAAAAGAUGCCCACCAAAGACAGCCCAAGCGUUCCACUUGAAGGAGGUGGCAUUCCUGAGAUAGAGUAGCCCAUCACAUUAGUAGUAACUGCAUCUGUAACUUUUACCUGGUAAUUCCUCAAAUCAUCCAUUGUUAAAAUCCC